GGGAUGGGGAAGUAGAUAGGGUAGGCUGGAAUGGUUGGGCAGGUUGGACACUGCACAAGGGGGCACAGAGUGAGCUCAAGCCAUGCUGGAAAAGAAACCUGGCACCACUCCUCUUGCUUCUGGGAUCAAAGACGGUCUGGCUCCAGCCUCCUCUGGACCCCAGGCUUGGCCUCCCCCCACCUCCAUCACUCCCAUCAUCUGAUGGAUUCUGGAACCGCUGGGAGCUUAGAGAAGAAGAAAGAUCAUCUGUCUAAAGGCAUCAACAUCGCUUGCCUUUAAAUUUUUUUUUUUAUUUUAAACCUUCCCACAAUUCAAAUGUUUCUCUUAUUAUCUUCUGCCGAGGGAAAAAAUUAAUAACACGGCGCAAUAUAAAACACUAAAUUAAAGGCAUUUUGG